rnacentral:rRNA from 1 species
UACAGGGGGUGCAAACGUUGCUCGGAAUCAUUGGGCGUAAAGCGCACGUAGGCGGUUCGUUAUGUCGGAUGUGAAAGCCCUUGGCUUAACCGAGGAAGUGCAUCCGAAACUGGCGAGCUAGAGUACUAAAGAGGAUCGCGGAAUUCCUGGUGUAGCGGUGAAAUGCGCAGAUAUCAGGAGGAACACCGAUGGCGAAGGCAGGUCUCUGGGCCACUACUGACGCUGAGAAGCGAAAGCAUGGGGAGCAAACAGG